rnacentral:lncRNA from 1 species
UAAAAAGCUUAUUUUAAUUUAUUAUCAUUAUUUAUAUCUCUUACAGGCAGGUAGAAGAAUGCAGAAUAUGACCAUCCACUUUGUUUUCGACCCAGGUGACCUCAGCAUUCACUUACAUCUCCAGAAAACUGAGGGUUUCAUGGUCAUUGCCAAGCAGGGGAUAUGUGUACCAUGGAUGUUCCACCUUCCUUCAGUCGGAUUUUCUGCUCACCUUUAUGGAGCACUUCCUGUUUAUGAAGCCUUUCACAUUCAUCAUCUCAUUUGGCCAACAUAACCACCUUGGGAUGUAGGUAUGGUCGUUAUUCCCAUUUCAUGGAUGAGAAAAAUGAGGCUCAGGGAAGUAAAGUGACCUGCACAUGCUUUCCCAGCUCGUAGGCAUUGGAACCAGAACCUGAAUCCAGACUUUCUGG